rnacentral:rRNA from 1 species
AUUGAACGCUAGCGGGAUGCUUUACACAUGCAAGUCGAACGAGUGGCGGACGGGUGCGUAAUAUAUCGGAACGUGCCCAGUAGCGGGGGAUAACUACUCGAAAGAGUGGCUAAUACCGCAUACUCUUGGAGCGGCCGAUGUUGGAUUCGCUUGUUGGGGGGGUAAAGGCUCACCAAGGCAACGAUCCGUAGCGGGUUUGAGAGGACGACCAGCCACACUGGGACUGAGACACGGCCCAGACUCCUACGGGAGGCAGCAGUGGGGAAUUUUGGACAAUGGGGGAAACCCUGAUCCAGCCAUCCCGCGUGUAUGAGAAGGCCUUCGGGUUGUAAAGUACUUUUGGCAGAGAAGCGGUAUCUGCAGAAUAAGCACCGGCUAACUACGUGCCAGCAGCCGCGGUAAUUC